UACAGAGGUCUCAAGCGUUGUUCGGAUUCAUUGGGCGUAAAGGGUGCGUAGGUGGCGCCGUAAGUCGGGUGUGAAAUUUCGGAGCUUAACUCCGAAACUGCAUUCGAUACUGCCGUGCUUGAGGACUGGAGAGGAGACUGGAAUUUACGGUGUAGCGGUGAAAUGCGCAGAUAUCAGGAAGAACACCCGUGGCGAAGGCGGCUUUCUGGACGGAUACUGACGCUGAGACGCGAAAGCGUGGGGAGCAAACAGG
rnacentral:rRNA from 1 species